rnacentral:piRNA from 1 species
UUACGUGCUGUCCUGACUGUUGUGUA